rnacentral:rRNA from 1 species
GACGGGGGAUGCGAGCGUUAUCCGGAAUGAUUGGGCGUAAAGGGUCCGCAGGUGGCCCGGUCAGUCCGCUGUCAAAGCCUGGGGCUCAACCCUGGAGAGGCGGCGGAGACGACCGGGCUUGAGUCCGGUAGGGGCAGAGGGAAUUCCCGGUGGAGCGGUGAAAUGCGUAGAGAUCGGGAAGAACGCCAAGGGCGAAGGCACUCUGCUAGGCCUGAUUUCGCGACUGACACUCAGGGACGAGAGCCAGGGGAGCGAAUGGG